UACGGAAGGGGCGAGCGUUGUUCGGAAUCAUUGGGCGUAAAGGGCGCGUAGGUGGUUCUGUAUGUCUACUGUGAAAGCGUACAGCUCAACUGUAUUUUUGUCGGUAGAAACUGCAGGACUUGAGGCUGGGAGGGGCUGGUGGAAUUCCCUGUGUAGCGGUGAAAUGCGUAGAGAUGGGGGAGAACACUCGUGGCGAAGGCGGCCAGCUAGACCAGUUCUGACACUGAGGCGCGACAGCGUGGGGAGCAAACAGG
rnacentral:rRNA from 1 species